rnacentral:rRNA from 1 species
UACGAAGGGGGCUAGCGUUGCUCGGAAUCACUGGGCGUAAAGCGCACGUAGGCGGAUCGUUAAGUCAGGGGUGAAAUCCUGGAGCUCAACUCCAGAACUGCCUUUGAUACUGGCGACCUUGAGUUCGGGAGAGGUGAGUGGAACUGCGAGUGUAGAGGUGAAAUUCGUAGAUAUUCGCAAGAACACCAGUGCGAAGGCGGCUCACUGGCCCGAUACUGACGCUGAGGUGCGAAAGCGUGGGGAGCAAACAGGG